rnacentral:rRNA from 1 species
CCAAUAGCGUAUAUUAAAGUUGUUGCAGUUAAAAAGCUCGUAGUUGAAUUUCGGGAUUAGUGCGCCGGUCGUGCCUUCGGUAUGUACUGGUGUUACUGGUUCCUACCUUCUGACGAACCGUCAUGUCAUUAAUUUGGUGUGGCGGGGAAUCAGGACUGUUACUUUGAAAAAAUUAGAGUGUUUAAAGCAGGCUCGCGCUUGAAUACAUUAGCAUGGAAUAAUGAAAUAGGACGUUCGAUCCUAUUUUGUUGGUUUCUAGGAUUGACGUAAUGAUUAAUAGGGAUAGUUGGGGGCAUUAGUAUUCAAUUGUCAGAGGUGAAAUUCUUGGAUUUAUUGAAGACUAACUACUGCGAAAGCAUUUGCCAAGGAUGUUUUCAUUAAUCAAGAACGAAAGUUAGGGGAUCGAAGACGAUCAGAUACCGUCGUAGUCUUAACCAUAAACUAUGCCGACUAGGGAUCGGAUGAUGUUAUUUUUGAUGACUCAUUCGGCGCCUUACG